rnacentral:rRNA from 1 species
CCUACGGGAGGCAGCAGUGGGGAAUAUUGCGCAAUGGGCGAAAGCCUGACGCAGCGACGCCGCGUGAGGGAUGAAGGUCUUCGGAUCGUAAACCUCUGUCAGCAGGGAAGAACGGUCACUGUGCUAAUCAGCAGUGAAUUGACGGUACCUGCAAAGGAAGCACCGGCUAACUCCGUGCCAGCCGCCGCGGUAAUACGUAGGGUGCGAGCGUGAAUCGGAAUUACUGGGCGUAAAGCGCGAGUAGGCGGUAUGUCAAGUCAAGGGUGAAAUCCCCGCGCUCAACGUGGGAACUGCCUUUGAAACUGGCAAACUGGAGUGUGUGAGAGGAUAGUGGAAUUCCUGGUGUAGGAGUGAAAUGCGUAGAUAUCUGGAGGAACAUCAGUGGCGAAGGCGACUAUCUGGCACAUAACUGACGCUGAGGAGCGAAAGCGUGGGUAGCAAACAGGAUUAGAUACCCUUGUAGUC